CUGUUCUAAUCACCCGAACCCUUCCUCUCUUCUCUUUUCUUUCCUCUUCUCUUCUCCUGCACUGCCUUCCCCAUUUCUUCUUCUACCCACGGCAAACUGCGAGAUAUGAGAGAUUGAGAGAGUGAUACGCAGAGAUGGAGAGACCCGUGAGCUCAAACCCGACGAUCCCAUAGCGAAACCCAUAACCCGAACGACCCACCGAACCAUAGACUAACCAGCAGCCUGAGACACGAUUUCCGACGAUGGAGGAGCUCCGGCGGUACCCAGGAGCCGAACCACGAACCCAGGGACCGUGCAACCCAACUGAACCCGAUUCACCCGAAUCCCGACGGGUCUGGCAGAGGCGAAACAGAGAGGGAGUGCCGAGGGAGAUCCGGCUGUUCAGGGAUCCUCCGACGGAGCUACGUGGCCGAUCCUCCAGUGUCGAAUUCCGGCGAGUUCUCCGACAGUCCCGGUAUGGAUUUCCGGCGAAAACAGUGAAGAUUUUCUGUGGUUCUUGAGCUCUAUUUUAUUAGGAUGGUGUUGUAAUUGGAGACUUCAAUGGGUUCUCCAAGGUAGAGUUCGAGUAAUUGGAAUCCAAUGGGAGUUCGAGUCAGGAGUCUAAUGCAGCCGAGAUGAUGUUUCUUUGGCUGCAGGUACUUCGGUAUAGUCGAUGGGUCGGUAGCAGUGUGCUUGAGAUGUUAUGACUGAAGCUCGCCGCGACAGUUGUAAUUGUCGGACCACGGGUUGUCCACUAUUUUAUAGGUUUGGUAUGGCUUGUGACGUUUGUGUCACUUAUUCUUUGUUAAGCCAUUAUUGUUAUAGUGUUAAUAAGACUCAAACAGAUAGAUAUUAAAUGGCUCUUUGUUGUAAUUAACUUGUGAUAGAUGUAUAAGUUGUAAUUUCCGCUUUUCAGAUUUAUGUUUUCCGCUGCAUAGAUAGAUGUAUGUUAUACUCUGAUUAUCAGGUACAUGUUAUGGGGCAUGUGCCAUAUGUUGGCUGAGCGACACUUGUAAUUGUCGGACCACGGG